rnacentral:rRNA from 1 species
GGUAGCUAUGUGUGGAAGGGAUAAGUGCUGAAAGCAUCUAAGCAUGAAGCCCCCCUCAAGAUGAGAUUUCCCAUAGCGUCAAGCUAGUAAGAUCCCUCAAAGAUGAUGAGGUUGAUAGGUCUGGGGUGGAAGCGUGGCAACACGUGGAGCUGACAGAUACUAAUCGAUCGAGGGCUUAACCUAAA